CCCUUAGAUGUUCUGGGCCGCACGCGUGCUACACUGAGUAAUUCAAUGGGUAAGGGAACGCUAGAGCAUUACCUAAUCUUGAAAUUUGCUCGUGAUGGGGAUCGACGGUUGCAAUUUUCCGUCGUGAACGAGGAAUACCUUGUAGGCGCAUGUCAUCAUCAUGCGCCGAAUACGUCCCUGCCCUUUGUACACACCGCCCGUCGCUCCUAACGAUUGAGUGAUCCGGUGAGGCUCUGGGACCUGGACGGAAAGAGCGUUUCGCUUGUUCUGUUUGGGAAACUUGGUCGAACCUUAUCAUUUAGAGGAAGGAGAAGUCGUAACA
rnacentral:rRNA from 1 species